UCAUGGUGUUUCACUAAUAAAAAUAUAAAAAAAUAAGAUUGGGCCCUUCUCAUAGUGUCCCAUGCUAAAGAAAGCCGUGGCCCUGAACCAUUGCCUGGCCCUUGCCAGUGGACUGCAGGCACUGAAGAGGGUCACAUAGUG